rnacentral:rRNA from 1 species
AUUGAACGCUGGCGGCAUGCCUUACACAUGCAAGUCGAACGGCAGCACGGGGGCAACCCUGGUGGCGAGUGGCGAACGGGUGAGUAAUAUAUCGGAACAUGCCCUGAAGUGGGGGAUAACGUAGCGAAAGUUACGCUAAUACCGCAUAUUCUGUGAGCAGGAAAGCAGGGGAUCGCAAGACCUUGCGCUUUAGGAGUGGCCGAUAUCGGAUUAGCUAGUUGGUGAGGUAAAGGCUCACCAAGGCAACGAUCCGUAGCUGGUUGAGAGAACGACCAGCCACACUGGGACUGAGACACGGCCCAGACUCCUACGGGUGGCUG